AGACGUGGGGGGCAAGCGUUGUCCGGAAUUACUGGGCGUAAAGGGCGUGUAGGCGGCCUGCCAAGUCAGCUGUGAAAUUCCCCGGCUCAACCGGGGGACUGCAGUUGAAACUGGCGGGCUUGAGUGCAGGAGAGGAGGGUGGAAUUCCUGGUGUAGCGGUGAAAUGCGUAGAUAUCAGGAGGAACACCGGUGGCGAAGGCGACCUUCUGGCCUGUUACUGACGCUGAGGCGCGAGAGCUAGGGGAGCAAACAGGAUUAGAUACCCUGGUAGUCCUAGCCGUAAACGCUGGGUACUAGGUGUAGGAGGUUUCAAUACCUUCUGUGCCGCAGUUAACGCAUUAAGUACCCCGCCUGGGGAGUACGGUCGCAAGGUUGAA
rnacentral:rRNA from 1 species